rnacentral:rRNA from 1 species
UACCAGCUCUCCGAGUGGUGUGGAUGUUUAUUGGGCCUAAAGCAUCCGUAGCUGGCUGGGCAAGUCCCCUGUUAAAUCCACCGAUUUAAUCGUUGGUGUGCGGGGGAUACUGUUCGGCUAGGGGACGGGAGAGGCCGACGGUAUUUUCGGGGUAGGGGUGAAAUCCUAUAAUCCCGGGAAGACCACCAGUGGCGAAGGCUGUCGGCUAGAACGCGCCCGACGGUGAGGGAUGAAAGCUGGGGGAGCGAACCGGAUUAGAUACCCGGGUAGUCCCAGCUGUAAACGAUGCAGGCUAGGUGUUUGGGCGGCCACGUGCCGCUCUAGUGCCGCAGAAAAGUCGUUAAGCCUGCCGCCUGGGGAGUACGGCCGCAAGGCUGAAACUUAAAGGAAUUGGCGGGGAGCACCACAAGGGGUGAAGCUUGCGGUUU